rnacentral:rRNA from 1 species
AGAGCGAACGCUGGCGGCAGGCCUAAUACAUGCAAGUCGAACGGAUCCUUCGGGAUUAGUGGCGGACGGGUGAGUAACGCGUGGGAACGUGCCCUUUGGUUCGGAAUAACUCAGGGAAACUUGAGCUAAUACCGGAUGUGCCCUUCGGGGGAAAGAUUUAUCGCCAUUGGAGCGGCCCGCGUCUGAUUAGCUAGUUGGUGGGGUAAUGGCCCACCAAGGCUUCGAUCAGUAGCUGGUCUGAGAGGAUGAUCAGCCACACUGGGACUGAGACACGGCCCAGACUCCUACGGGAGGCAGCAGUAGGGAAUCUUGCGCAAUGGGCGAAAGCCUGACGCAGCCAUGCCGCGUGAAUGAUGAAGGUCUUAGGAUUGUAAAAUUCUUUCAGCGGGGACGAUAAUGACGGUACCGCAGAAGAAGCCCGGCUAACUUCGCGCCAGCAGCCGC